AGCUGAUGGUUUCCUCAAUCCAAUAGAAGAAGCUCUAGGGAGGACUUGAAGUCCCUCUGGUCAUGCACACAGCUUUUUAAUUAACUGCUUUGGUUCCAGAUACAAGGACAGUACGUAACUUUAGGGAAAUUUACAGUUUACAAGACUAGUUUUGUUGUUGUUGUUGUUUUGGGUAUAAAUAUACUUUGUUUUUGAUUAAGGGCAAAGGUCUGACAUGGUCUCAUGAUACUUAAUCAAGUGAACACACGAAGACCAAAGCCUGCUGCACACCAUCCAGCGUGUACUAGGAAGCGGUCUGAGAUGCUUAGGGAUGAGCUUGCCCUGAAACCUGCACACAGACACCAUCCCGGUAAACAAGUGUUGGAGAACAGAUGGCUGGUACUGUGAGCUACGAGUUUCCUAAGCCCAAGAGAUUCCAUCUGCAACUGCUGCUCUCCUUGUGGCAGGACUGACUGGAUCCAGGGGACACCACAGUGGAAGAACAGAGAAGCCCCCGCUUUGAAGAGAAAAUAGACUUUUUAUUAGAAGUCACCAGAAAGAAGUUACCUCUGCCUCUGAGAAGACCAAGGCUACAGCUCUCUGCUGGGGACAAAAGACUUUGGGACUUCGAUGCUUCUGAGACCUGCUUGCAGGGAGGAGAGUGCAUUCAGCCAGGGCUGGGCCUGGGGACCUGGAUCAUCAAGUCUUUUUAGGCUGUCAUUAGCACGGUGCACCUGCUCUGUGGCCAGCGGGAGAACAGGCUUCAUGACUCUUCCCUCAGAGAGAUGAGACGCCCAGGAGCUCUGCAGGGGCAGAGGGAGUGAACUUGGUAGGCCUGGACUAACAGUUUCAAAGCAGCUGCUCCAAGAAAGUCCUAAUAAUGCAUGGAAUACCUGCUCCAGAGCCACAGAGAGCCACUAGAGCCGACAGUGUGUCCAGAGGACGAAUAGCACCAAUUUGAACUGCACUGAUUCUGCACUUAAUUCCCAUGUGGUCGGGAACUUGCUCAUGAUAAUUUUACCCCUUUCAAUAUGCUGAUAUUAACUUAAUAUUAGUGUAUUUUGGUGAUGUCUUUUUAAAAGGGUUGGAUAUGCAUCUUGAUAUGGCUGGUGGCAUCCCUGCAAGCUUCUCUACAGUCAGGUUGCUAAGUAGGGAGAGGAUGGCCUGUGCUGCCGAGGACUGUCUGCUUGCUUUCCAGAGAAAGUUGUUCUCGUGACCAGCUGUCACCGUGAGUCCAGUUUCCUUCUUGGGUGUCCCUUUUCGCUUUGUGUGUCUCAGAGCUCUGAUAUUGAGAACACGCGCAUUUAGGAUUUCGUGUUUCUUGGUAAAUUAUACGCAUUUAGGAUUUCGUGUUUCUUGGUAAAUUAUUUCCUGAACCAUUGCUGAUAUCCCCCCUUUAUUUCUAGAAAUAGGUUUUGUCCCAACAUUUAUAUCAAAACAGA